rnacentral:rRNA from 1 species
ACGUUCAUACCUACGUGAAAAUACCCGAUCCCAUCAGAACUCGGAAGUCAAGCGCGUGUGGGCGAGAUCAGUACUGUGGUUGGUGACAACACGGGAAUCUCUCGUGGCGUAUGUU